UGGUGGGCGGGGGAAACUCUGAAGGGGAAGCAUGGAUUGCAAUGGGUAGCUCAGAGUGCUGGUGAUGCCAGGGCGGCGAGCUAUCCAUCAAAGGAAGUUGAGGGCACAGAGUUGAGUCACCCAAGGGAGGCUGUGUGUGCUGCAGACGACUGGACAGGAGGAGCGGAGCUACCCAAGGCUGUGCAAACCCAGAUGAUGCCACCAAGGGCCACAGAACCAAGCUGUCUGGACCCACCAUCUGGAAGGCUUCUCCGCAUUCCCAGCGACUGUACCCAGCAAUCAGAAGGCACUGGAUAAACAUCUAGAAGACCCAGAGGGGUCAUUAGCUGAGGGUCUCCAGCAGAAGGUGUAGCCCAGAUGAAAGGUGUGAGC